rfam:TPA: Bos taurus chromosome 21, whole genome shotgun sequence.
CCUGGUAGUCUCGUGGCUAGAAUACCUGGUUUUCAUCCAGGUUACCCAGGUUCAAUUCCUGGGCAGGA